rnacentral:rRNA from 1 species
UACGGGGGGGGCAAGCGUUGUUCGGAAUUACUGGGCGUAAAGGGCGCGUAGGCGGUUCGCUAAGUUGGAUGUGAAAACUCUGGGCUUAACCCAGAGCCUGCAUCCAAAACUGGCAAACUUGAGUACUGGAGGGGAAAGCGGAAUUCCUGGUGUAGCGGUGAAAUGCGCAGAUAUCAGGAGGAACACCGGUGGCGAAGGCGGAUCUCUGGGCCUCACCUGACGCUCAGGUGCGAAAGCUAGGGGAGCGAACAGG